AGAACUGAUAAUUCGAGUGAUGGAAUGAUAGAGUAACGCCUUGAAACAUCACCUCUAAUACUCCGACUGGCUGCAUAAAUGGAAACAUUAGUGGUCAGAAGUUCGGUGAAGUCGGCAGAAGUUAGCCUAAACUCAGUAAUAACCGAUAGUAACAUUGGCACAAAAGAGGUUAGAGCCCACCUGUGUGAAGCGAUUAUGAAAGGCAUGGUUAAUGAUAUGUCGGGAGUCUAUAAA
rnacentral:ncRNA from 1 species